rnacentral:rRNA from 1 species
GACGAACGCUGGCGGCGUGCUUAACACAUGCAAGUCGAACGAAGUGGCGAACGGGUGAGUAACGCGUAAUCAACCUGCCCUUCAGAGGGGGACAACAGUUGGAAACGACUGCUAAUACCGCAUACUGAAGGAGGGGAUUGCGUCUGAUUAGCUAGUUGGAGGGGUAACGGCCCACCAAGGCGAUGCUCAGUAGCCGGGCUGGGAGGGUGGACGGCCAAAUUGGGAACGAGGCACGGCCCAGAAUCCUACGGGAGGGAGGAGUGGGGGAGCUUCCGCAAUGGACGAAAGUCUGAAGGAGCAACGCCGGGGGAGUGAUGACGGCCUUCGGGUUGGAAAGCUCUGUUAAUCGGGACGCGGUACCGGAAUAGAAAGCCACGGCUAACUACGUGCCAGCAGCCGCGGUAAUAC